ensembl:lncRNA
UGCCUCCGCGAGGGCGCAGCGGAGACUAGAAGGGAGGGCCAGGCGGGGAGCUCUGGGAGGGAGGAACGGAGCAGAGGGCCGGCGGGCGCGCCCGUGAGGCAGCUUUUCCGACCCAGCCCUGAGCCCGCGCGGGGGCUCCCCCUCGCAAGGCUGGGUCCUCCCCUUCCUGCCCGCAGCUGGCGGCGGCCCCCGCUGUAGCGGUACGAGGCUCCGGGGCUGAAAUUUAACACCCUCGGCCCCGUUGUCCUCACCCAGGGAUCCUCCCCUCCUCCCAGGAUUUUGCUGCUCCCGUGGGUUGAGGGAAGGAGGGGCUGGAGGUCUCAGGGUUCCUCCUUGGACUUGCCCAGACUUAGCUUGCAGUUGUGCAACGGGAGAGCGGGACCCGGGCGUGGCCAGUCUACGCCUCGACCGUUCUUAAAAAUCUCCAGAAUUAGACCCCUUUUCUGCUAUCUGCCCUGGUUUAGUUUGGAGAAGAACUUACCGACUUAAAUCCUGGACCGCCUACACAAGGAAGCGGAUCACAAAAACAAAUUGUCUUGAAUGGCAAUCAACCGAGCAACUGACCUUUCCUGUUCACCUUGUAAGAGAAGCCACACUCCAAGCGAAAUGAAAAUGAAAGUAUGGCAAAAAGGAACCACAAGAUCCAGGAGACAGUGAGGACAUUUACAUUUCUGGGCACUGAGCAGAACCUACCCUUCAGACAGUUUCCUCAGUCGGUUAAGCGUUGGACUUCAGUGCAGGUCCUGAUCUCGCAGUUCAUGAGUUCCAGUUCCAGCUCUAUGCUUACAGCUCGGAGCCUGGAGCCUGCUUCAGAUUCUGUCUCUCUGUGUGUGUGUCUCUCUCUCUGUCCCUGCCCUGAUCAUACUCUGUCUCUCUCUCUCUCUCAAGAAUAAAUAAACAUUAAAAAAAAAAAGAAAACAGUAACACCUCAUUUUUUUUUUUUACACUGCUGUAGCUUUCCAAGCAUUUUCACGUAGUGGAUCACAAAUUUUGGGGUUUCACAGACUAGUAAAAUUACCACCCCCCAAGUUAAUACCCCCCCAAUCUAAUAACAACAUAGAUCGUCUAACUUUGUAUUUUUUUCAAAUAGUGAUAUCUGAGAGAAAAAAAAAAACUUGUAAAUUCCAUCACCACCACUGAUGAAAGAAAGAACAUGAUCUUAGCAAAAGAGCAAGGAGGUCAAUAUAUAUAUAUAUAUAUAUAAUAUAUAUAUAUAUUAUAUAUAUAUAUAUAUAUAUAUAUAUAUAUAUAUAUAUAUAUAUAUAUAUAUAUAUAUAUAUAUAUAUAUUAUAUAUAUAUAUAUAUAUAUAUAUAUAUAUAUAUAUAUAUAUAUAUAUAUAAAGUCCUUUAAAUAGCCUAAAAUGGAGUUUUUGGAAAACUCACUAUACCAUCUUGAAGUUUCUCCUUCUUCUACAGGGCAGUAAAAACUUUGCCUCAGAUUUUCACAACCAAUUUCUGAAGGAGGUGAAGCAGGUAUUAUGCUCCUCUUACCUGUCGAGAAAUGUGUGUUAAGAGAUGCGAAGUCAGAAGGUCUGGUGAUGCUUACAUGGCUUGUCUCUAAACCUUACUUGGGGCAUCAAGGCCCUAGACCUGGGCUAGAAUCUUGGUUUAGACACUUAGCAGCUAGGAAAGCUUGGGACAUUUUAGUAACACCUGAAGGCCCUGGAAAUAGAUUGAAAUCAGCUUGCCCUGAGGGCCUGCUUUUAAUAUAGGGCCAAAGGGUAGAUGAGGUUUGGUUCGUACAGUUACCCUUUUUUGGCUCACCUGCAGAUUAGAGUGGACUCCUCAAGGCCAAGGCUGCUCAGUGCUUUUCCUGGAUUUCCCAGAUUACAACCAUGGACUGGGUUGCUCAGCCAGCAGAAUCCAAUUUGUAUCUCUUACUUUCCCUGUGGCUUUGUGGUCGCUGAGAAACAUUUAGAACGUGAGUAGGUAUUGCUCUUCAGAGACUGGCCCUCUUGGAAAGUCUAUGAGCUCCCUAGUAUUUCUUUAAUGACUUCUUUUUCUUCUUAAAAAAAAUACUAGGGAGAAUAAAAGAAGAAUAGACAGGGAUGUUCUUUCUUCU